rnacentral:rRNA from 1 species
GAACGAACGCUGGCGGCAUGCCUAACACAUGCAAGUCGAACGAGACCUUCGGGUCUAGUGGCGCACGGGUGCGUAACGCGUGGGAACCUGCCCUUAGGUUCGGAAUAACUCCCCGAAAGGGGUGCUAAUACCAGAUAAUGUCUUCGGACCAAAGAUUUAUCGCCUUUGGAUGGGCCCGCGUUGGAUUAGCUAGUUGGUAGGGUAAAAGCCUACCAAGGCGACGAUCCAUAGCUGGUCUGAGAGGAUGAUCAGCCACACUGGGACUGAGACACGGCCCAGACUCCUACGGGAGGCAGCAGUGGGGAAUAUUGGACAAUGGGCGAAAGCCUGAUCCAGCAAUGCCGCGUGAGUGAUGAAGGCCUUAGGGUUGUAAAGCUCUUUUACCCGGGAUGAUAAUGACAGUACCGGGAGAAUAAGCGCCGGCUAACUCCGUG